UACUGGAGUGGGAUGCCAUUGCCUUCUCCGAUAGCACUUGAGAACAUUAAAAUAAGUUAGCAGUACUUGAAUCUCAUGCCCAUAUGUCCUGGUUCUCUUGAUCUGAAGUGGAACCUGGACUCUAUUUCUUCUAGGUUCUCCCAUGGCAUGCAGUCAGGGUUGAGGACCUCUACUGUGUACCUUCCUGUUUGAGGUAUCUUGUACUCUUCUUUACCUUGAUAUUUUUCACUUAAGUAAUUUUGGAGGUUUCUUCCAGAACAGUACAUGUAGAUCAAUCUCAUUUUUCAAUGCUUCAUGGUAUUCCAGGUAUUCCGAUCAUUCUGGCAUUCUCCUUCCAGCUCUUAAGGCAAUCACUGGUGGAGCGCUGGACCCAGAAGCAUGAGAAGACACCUCACCUGUCCUCACCGCAACUCCCUCUCUCUCUAUUAAAAGCCAUGAUGGUCUCCUUUAGGAAAGCAGCUUAUCCAUCAAUAAGGAUCCCAUCCUCUUCCAAAAAUGAAUCGAUUAAUCAUGUCAAAAGAUCGCAGAGGCUGGUCAUAGGGCAAAAUGUGGCCUCCACCUCGAACAAUUACCUUAAAGAAGAAAAACAGAAGAAAAGCUGAAAUUUAGAAAACUGGAUAUUCUAAAUACAUGGAAACCUUUAAUUUGGAUUAAAAUGUUCUUAAAGCUUACAUGAAAUAAAGAACAUAGUGUAUCGGUCCAUGCUUUUGGAUAUGCUGAUUGUCUGCUUUUGAUAGCAUUAAUAAUAGGUACCUUAAGGUGGGAGCUGUCUGCUUCUCCAUGCUAUGCUGUAACUCUUACCUUGUUAGGGGCCUGAGGUUGGGAGACCUACCCCAGACCAGCUCUGGUUGCAACUAGGUAGAGAAAUGUACCUAAUUUACCGUUCAGUAAGCUGGUCCAUUGGCCUUCACACUAAGCUACACCUUUUACCUUAAUUACACCUUCUACCUUAGUCUUUACCAGUAAUAAAGGAGAUAUUUUGAGUCUCAAAAAAAUUAAAACAACAACAAAAAAGAACUCCUUGACACCUGAAAUUUUAAAAGGCCUAAAAUUUUUUUGAGCAGCAAAAAAUUAGAAUUCUAUUUUUCCAAGAUUUUAUUAUAAAACAUUUUCAAACAUAUAGCAGAUUUGAAAGAAUUUCAUAUACACACCAUUUAGAUACUCUCAUUAACACUUUACUCGUUUUCUUACAGCUGCAUCUCACUGCCCAUCUAUUAACCCACCUUAUCUUUUUGACACAUUUCAGAGUAAGAUGGGGAUGUCAGUAUACUCCUCCCAAAUUUUGUGUAAAAUUGACAUACAGUGGGAUUCUCUGGUGGCUCAGACAGUAAAGAAUCUGCCUGCAAUGCAGGAGAUGCCAG